rnacentral:rRNA from 1 species
CAGUCGCCGCGGUAAUACGGAGGGCGCGAGCGUUACCCGGAUUUACUGGGCGUAAAGGGCGUGUAGGCGGCCUGGGGCGUCCCAUGUGAAAGGCCACGGCUCAACCGUGGAGGAGCGUGGGAUACGCUCAGGCUAGAGGGUGGGAGAGGGUGGUGGAAUUCCCGGAGUAGCGGUGAAAUGCGCAGAUACCGGGAGGAACGCCGAUGGCGAAGGCAGCCACCUGGUCCACUUCUGACGCUGAGGCGCGAAAGCGUGGGGAGCAAACCGGAUUAGAUACCCGGGUAGUCCCUGUCUCUUAUAC